GCGGUGGAGCAUGUGGUUUAAUUCGAAGCAACGCGAAGAACCUUACCAGGCCUUGACAUGCAGAGAACUUUCCAGAGAUGGAUUUGGUGCCUUCGGGAACUCUGACACAGGUGCUGCAUGGCUGUCGUCAGUUCGUGUCGUGAGAUGUUGGGUUAAGUCCCGUAACGAGCGCAACCCUUGUCCUUAGUUACCAGCACGUUAUGGUGGGCACUCUAAGGAGACUGCCGGUGACAACCGGAGGAAGGUGGGGAUGACGUCAAGUCAUCAUGGCCCUUACGGCCUGGGCUACACACGUGCUACAAUGGUCGGUACAAAGGGUUGCCAAGCCGCGAGGUGGAGCUAAUCCCAUAAAACCGAUCGUAGUCCGGAUCGCAGUCUGCAACUCGACUGCGUGAAGUCGGAAUCGCUAGUAAUCGUGAAUCAGAAUGUCACGGUGAAUACGUUCCCGGGCCUU
rnacentral:rRNA from 1 species